UAACAUGGAUAUAUACAGGGAGGUAAUAACAUGGCUAUAUACAGGGAGGUAAUAACAUGGCUAUAUACAGGGAGGUAAUAACAUGGCUAUAUACAGGGAGUACCAGGUAAUAACAUGGCUAUAUACAGGGAGGUAAUAACAUGGCUAUAUACAGGGAGGUAAUAACAUGGCUAUAUACAGGGAGUACCAGGUAAUAACAUGGCUAUAUACAGGGAGGUAAUAACAUGGCUAUAUACAGGGAGUACCAGGUAAUAACAUGGCUAUAUACAGGGAGGUAA